AACGCACGAGACCUGCGGACCUGCGGAGGGAUCAUUGCUGGAACGCGCCCCAGGCGCACCCAGAAACCCUUUGUGAACUUAUACCUUACUGUUGCCUCGGCGCAUGCCGGCCCCCAGGGGCCCCUCGGAGACGAGGAGCAGGCACGCCGGCGGCCAACCUAACUCUUGUUUUUACACUGAAACUCUGAGAAAAAAAACAAAAUGAAUCAAAACUUUCAGCAAUGGAUCUCUAGAUCGGAA
rnacentral:misc_RNA from 1 species